AUUGAACGCUGGCGGCAGGCUUAACACAUGCAAGUCGAGCGGAGAGAGGUAGCUUGCUACUGAUCUUAGCGGCGGACGGGUGAGUAAUGCUUAGGAAUCUGCCUAUUAGUGGGGGACAACAUUUCGAAAGGAAUGCUAAUACCGCAUACGUCCUACGGGAGAAAGCAGGGGAUCUUCGGACCUUGCGCUAAUAGAUGAGCCUAAGUCGGAUUAGCUAGUUGGUGGGGUAAAGGCCUACCAAGGCGACGAUCUGUAGCGGGUCUGAGAGGAUGAUCCGCCACACUGGGACUGAGACACGGCCCAGACUCCUACGGGAGGUAGCAGUGGGGAAUAUUGGACAAUGGGCGGAAGCCUGAUCCAGCCAUGCCGCGUGUGUGAAGAAGGCCUUAUGGUUGUAAAGCACUUUAAGCGAGGAGGAGGCUACUGAGACUAAUACUCUUGGAUAGUGGACGUUACUCGCAGAAUAAGCACCGGCUAACUCUGUGCCAGCAGCCGCGGUAACAC
rnacentral:rRNA from 1 species